AAAAACAUAGUAGAAGCAGAGUAGAUAUUAGGAAUCACUACAAUUUUAACUCAUGCCCUUGGAGUUUUUCAGUAGUAUUUCUUGACGGUACAGUACAGAAUGAAUAGUAAAGGCAGAAAUGAUAAAAUACACACAUCUAGUUGAACGCUUCCUUCCUGAUCCAAACAGUUUUUCUCAAUGCCUGCCAUCCCCACCCCUGCAGUGGGCAUGAGAACUAAAAAAAUAAAAACUCUCUAGCAACUUCUCUCUCCCGGGGGAGUAUAGCCCAAAGCUUCUUAGCUGGACUACUUCCUGGAGUUUGCCUCAGACCUUUGGAAUCUUACGGGCAAGAAGGAAGCCUCCAGGGAAUGCAUUCCUGCAGAGGCCUCUUCCUCUCCCCUGCUCUGCAGAUCAAGAACAGCCUCCACCACUGGAUAUGGCCCACUUAACGGAACUCCUGAGUUCCUUCUGGCCGGCUUCCUGUAUCUCUAAACUUUUAUGGAGACCCAAUAUGUCUUACAAGGUCAGUAUUUUUUUUCCAUUGUUUAUUGGUACAUUUAAAGUAAACAGUACAGUUACGUUGAUCAAUGGGAUCUUGUACCUACAUGGUAUAUCUUGGUUCUUGUUUUUUCCCCAUACCCCUGCCCUCCUUUCACCUGCUUCACCCUUCCCUAUUUACAAAGCCAAGGUCAGUCUUAAACCUGGGUCUCUCUAUGUGGCCUUUCCCAGCUUCCUGAUAGCAUUUUAGUCUAGCUUCUCCCUCAGAUGACAGCAUGUUCUGACUUUCCUGCUGUGUGAUUCUCCGGGAGGAUGUGGAGGG
rnacentral:lncRNA from 1 species